rnacentral:lncRNA from 1 species
GUCCAUGGCUGGUUGACUAGAGGCAGAACAUCUGCUGGAAAUAUCCAAGGGGAGGUCAUGGGCUAUGAAGGCAGCGUGACAGGACAGAAUAAGGAGGGUCUGGCAUGCCAUGCUUAGAUGUCAAUGAGAGCUAAUUAGGGUGAGGUGUGUAGCCUAGGACCUAUGCUUCCUGAACUUUGGGCUUUAUUCUGCAGGCAAGAAGAGCUGAUGGAGGUUUCUGAGCUAGAAAGGGCUUUGUCCAGAAUUGGGCUUUAAGCAAAUUAUUUUGUCAGUUGAAUACUGGAAAAUUUGGAGCCAAGGAGACCAUAAAAAGGAGACCAGGAUGACGCUGCGUCACCAGUUCAGAAGCCCGGUCGAACCACUGGAGGAUGUGAAGUCACGUGAAAGAGAACAUAGACAUCCCAGUCAACAACUGCAUCCAACAGCCAGACAUGUGAGUAGCUCUCUGGGACCAUCUGGUCCCUGGUUGAUCCACCACUUGACCACAAAAACACAAAAGAACUGCGGUGACACCAUGGGUGGUAGAGAGGAGCCUUCCCAGGUGAGCCUUGCCCAAGUUUCCAACCUGCAGAAUUAUCUCUGGAUCAAGAGGAGCAGCACCUGAACAGCCUCAGCCACACUGGAACCUGAUCCAGAUCACGAGCUCAUGGACUUUGAGCCUGAUUCUGUGGCCAAAUAAGGCCUUGGGGAUCUUGGGAGGGGGUGAGUAUAUUUCACAUAUUUUGUGUGAAUUUUUGGAGCCAGAGGCUGGACCAUGGUAGUUUGUUAGAAAUGGUCCCCAAUGAGCCACACCUCCUUCUCUCCUCCCUUUGAUAUGUGAUUUUGUUUCCCCUCUCAUCCAGAGAUGGAGUCUAUUUCUCCAUCUUCUGAAUCUGUGCUGGCCUUGUGACUUGCUUUCACUAAUAUAAUGCUGCACAAGUGACAUUUUGAGAUUUCUGAGGCCUGGCCUUAAGGGGACUUGUAGCUGCCACUGGUCAUCCUCACGGCAUGCAUCUUCCGCCAUGUAAAAGGCCUGAUCUAGUUACUGGAGAAAGAGGGCAUGCAAAGGAGAGUCAUGGCAUGCUGGCUAACAGCCAGACAUGUGAAUGAGGGCAUCUGGACCAGCCAGCCACCAGCCAACCUGCCAAAUGACCACAACACAGGAGAGAGCCCAGCCGACAGCAUGUGGAACAGAGAUGAACCAUUCCAGCUGAGCCCUACCAAAUUGCCAGCCCACAGAAUCACAAGGGGGAAACACAACAGGAUCCACUCAUAGUUCUUAGUUUUGCUGACUUUCUCUCUCCAUGGCCUCUUGAUGCCACGCCAGGGAAUCAAAGAUAGUGCUGGUACAAAGGUUGGAGACCCAGCCUCGGCCACGGCCAAGAUUGCCUUCUGAUUUAAGUCCAAAUUCAGUCCUUUCUUGCUCCAUAGACCCGUGAGGCAGGAACUGAGGGUCCUUUUGACUUAGUUACAAUGGAGGGCUGCUGGGCCUGUCCACUUUCCCCCUGGGGUUAAGCCAACCACCAAACUGAAAGACAGAUUACGUAAAGCAAACUGAUGUGGAUGAAGGCAAACCCUGCAUGAAUUUGUAAAUCUUGUAAAUCUUGUGAAUUUGUAAAUCCCCU